AACGAACGCUGGCGGCAUGCCUAACACAUGCAAGUCGAACGAGCCCUUCGGGUCUAUUGUCGCCCGGGUGCGUAACGCGUGGGAACCUGCCCUUAGGUUUGGCAUACCUCAGAGAAAUUUGUGCUUAUACCGGAUGAUGUCUUCGGACCAAAGAUAUAUCGCCUUUGGAUGUGCCCUCGUUGGAUUCGCUUGUUGGGUGGGUAAUGGCCUACCAAGGCGACCAUCCAUAGCUGGUCUGAGAGGAUGGUUAGCAACACUGGGAGUAGGACACGGCCCAGACUCCUACGGGAGGCAGCAGUGGGGAAUAGAGGAAAAUGGCGGAAGGGCUGAUCCAGCAAUGCUGCGUGAGUGAUGAAGGCCUUAGGGUUGUAAAGCGCUAUUACCCGAGAUGAUAUUGACAGUAUCGGGAGAAUAAGCCCCGGCUAACUCCGUG
rnacentral:rRNA from 1 species